GACGAACGCUGGCGGCGUGCUUAACACAUGCAAGUCGAACGGAACGGCCCUGCUUUUGUGGGGUGCUCGAGUGGCGAACGGGUGAGUAACACGUGAGUAACCUGCCCUUUACUUUGGGAUAACUUCAGUAAACUGGGGCUAAUACCUGCUAGGUGCUCCUGCUGCAUGGUGGGGGUUGGACAGUUUCGGCGGUUGGGGAUGGACUCGCGGGUUAUCAGCUUGUUGGUGGGGUAGUGGCUUACCACGGCUUUGACGGGUAGUCGGCCUGAGAGGGUGACCGGCGACAAGGGGACUGAGAGACGGCGCAGAGUGGUACGGGAGGCAGCAGUGGGGAAUAUGGCACAGUGGGCGGAAGCCGGAUGCAGAAACGCCGCGUGCGGGAUGACGGCCUUCGGGUUGUAAACCGCUGUCGCCUGUGACGAAGCGGGAGUGACGGUAAUGGGUAAAGAAGCACCGGCUAACUACGUG
rnacentral:rRNA from 1 species